rnacentral:rRNA from 1 species
CCCGCCGGCGACCGGCGCACGGGUGAGUAACACGUAUGCAACCUGGCCGCCACAGGGGGAUAACCCGCGGAAACGCGGCCUAAUACCCCGUGACGCCACCGGAGGGCAUCCUCCGGUGGGCCAAAGGAGCGAUCCGGUGGCGGAUGGGCAUGCGGCGCAUUAGCUAGACGGCGGGGUGACGGCCCACCGUGGCGACGAUGCGUAGGGGUUCUGAGAGGAAGGCCCCCCACACUGGGACUGAGACACGGCCCAGACUCCUACGGGAGGCAGCAG